rnacentral:rRNA from 1 species
GACGAACGCUGGCGGCGUGCUUAACACAUGCAAGUCGAACGCUGAAGCUUGGUGCUUGCCCUGGGUGGAUGAGUGGCGAACGGGUGAGUAAUAAGUGAGUAACCUGCCCUUGACUCUGGGAUAAGCCUGGGAAACUGGGUCUAAUACUGGAUACGACAUGUCACCGCAUGGUGGUGUGUGGAAAGGGAUUUACUGGUUUUGGAUGGGCUCACGGCCUAUCAGCUUGUUGGUGGGGUAAUGGCUCACCAAGGCGACGACGGGUAGCCGGCCUGAGAGGGUGACCGGCCACACUGGGACUGAGACACGGCCCAGACUCCUACGGGAGGCAGCAGUGGGGAAUAUUGCACAAUGGGCGGAAGCCUGAUGCAGCGACGCCGCGUGAGGGAUGACGGCCUUCGGGUUGUAAACCUCUUUCAGCACGGAAGAAGCGAAAGUGACGGUACGUGCAGAAGAAGCGCCGGCUAACUACGUG